rnacentral:rRNA from 1 species
GACAGAGGGUGCAAACGUUGUUCGGAAUUACUGGGCGUAAAGCGCGUGUAGGCGGCUAUGCAAGUCGGAUGUGAAAGCCCUCGGCUCAACCGGGGAAGUGCACCCGAAACUGCAAAGCUAGAGUCUCGGAGAGGAUCGUGGAAUUCUCGGUGUAGAGGUGAAAUUCGUAGAUAUCGAGAGGAACACCCGUGGCGAAGGCGGCUCUCUGGGACGGUACUGACGCUGAGACGCGAAAGCGUGGGGAGCGAACAGG